rnacentral:lncRNA from 1 species
UCACCCAAAACCUUAUCCGAAGAAAAUCCCCAAUAGUAGAGAGCCACGUCCUCACCGAGGAUCUAAGUGUAUCCAAUUCAAGCGUUCUGAAGCCACAAAUCGCUCACGUGGGCCAUCAUAAACGUCUGCCUACUCAGUUUUUAAUAUCGUUUCAAAACUUAACAAACUAAAAUAAUUCCCAAGUAUUACUCGUUCUCCGGUCAUUCAAUUUCCUCCGUAGAAAGCUGAAAAAUGGCAACUUCUUUGAUGACCAUGCCACAGUUCAGUGGGCUCAGACCCCAAAUCUCAGCAGCUCCUGCACAAAGCCUGGUAACAAUUUUUUUGAUUGAUGUGAUCUUUCAUGUGGCAAUUUGGCAACUACAUUAGGCUCAUGUUUGUUUUGUGUAAACUCUAAUGGGGCAGGUAGCAGCCCAGCCAAUGAGGAGGAAAUGCAGUGGAGCUUUGGGUGCUCGUUGUGGCUUCAUUGGUUCGCCCACAAAUUUGGUAAGCACUUGUCUUUCACUGACAUGUGUUGAUUUCAGAAUUGCUUUUGUAAAAAGUGCGUAAGUUUAUCCCAUUGUGGGCAGAUAAUGGUGACAACAACAACCCUGAUGCUAUUUGCUGGGAGAUUUGGGCUGGCUCCAUCAGCAAACAGGAAAGCAACGGCAGGAUUGAAGCUUGAAGUGAGGGACUCUGGCUUGCAAACUGGUGACCCAGCUGGGUUCACUUUGGCUGACACAUUGGCUUGUGGCAGUGUUGGUCACAUCAUUGGUG